GUGACUUACAUUAUCCAGCUAUGAUCACAACUCAGAUCUUCCUCACCACUCUGAUUCUCUCACUCCAUUUCUUCCAUAUAUGACCAUCAUCGUUUGGACACCAAGGAUAUAUAGUCAUUUGUCUUUUGUAGUGUGGUUUUUGAUCUACAAAUUCCAGGAGAAGGCGUUUGUCCUUAUUUGAGGGAGUAGAGCCAUUCCUACAAAGUGACAACAAGCUCAUGCCAAUAAGGUAUUCUUACUAGGACAUAAAGAAGAUGACUAAGAAUUUUGAAGAUAAACUAGGCGAAGGGGGCUUCGGUUCUGUUUACAAAGGAAAACUUCGAAGUGGCCAUCUUGUAGCAGUCAAAUUGCUUGGAAAAUCCGGAGCUAAUGGGCAAGACUUCAUCAAUGAAAUAGCAACUUCAUGUAAAUGUUGUUCUACUAGUUGGAUAUUGUGCCGAAAGAUUCAAGCAUGCCCUUGUUUUUUAUUUCAUGCCAAAUGGUUCCCUUGACAAGUAUAUCUUCAACUGAGAAAAAGCCUUAAUUGGAUUGGGAUAUGAAAUUUAAGAUUGUAGUUGAA